UACAGAGACUGCGAGCGUUAUUCGGAUUCACUGGCGUAAAGGGUGCGUAGGUGGUGAGGUAAGUCGGAUGUGAAAGCUCCGAGCUCAACUCGGAAAUGGCAUUGGAAACUACCUUGCUCGAGGGUUUGAGGGGGGACUGGAAUACUUGGUGUAGCAGUGAAAUGCGUAGAUAUCAAGUAGAACACCAGUGGCGAAGGCGAGUCCCUGGAAAACUCCUGACACUGAGGCACGAAGCUAGGGGAGCAAACAGG
rnacentral:rRNA from 1 species